CCAUAUGACCGAAUGCACUUU
rnacentral:siRNA from 1 species